rnacentral:sRNA from 1 species
UAAAAAAGGUCAAAAUGUGUCACAAUCCAAAGCCUUUGAUUAAUUAUAAGAGUUAGAGAUGAAUUAGAAGUGUUUAGACAACACUUAUUCCCAUUUUCUCCUAAAAGAGACUAAAACCAACAAAAAAUUGCUUACAAGCAGUAACUAGCUUUGUUAGUGUUUCUAUGGUCAAAAUAUGUCACAAUCCAAAGCCUUAGACUAAUUAUAAGAGUUAGAGAUGGAUUAGGAGUGUUUAGACAACACUUAUACCAAGUUUCUCUCAAAAGAAGAAAAAACCAACAAAAAAUUGCAUAGAAUCAGUAAAUUACUUUGUUAGUGUUUCUAUGGUCAAAAUGUUUCAUAAUCCAAUGCAUUUGACUUAUUAUAAGAGUUAGAGAUGGAUUAGGAGUGUUCAUACAACACUUACACCUAUUUUCUCCCAAAAGAGGAUUAAACCAACAAAAACUUGCUUACAAGAUGUAUCACAAUCCAAUGCAUUUGACUAAUUAUAAGAGUUAAAGAUGUGUUAGGAGUGUUUAGACAACACCUAUACCCAUUUUCUCCCAAAAGACGUUAAAACCAAGAAAAA